rnacentral:rRNA from 1 species
AGUUGAUUAUGGCUCAGGAUGAACGCUAGCUACAGGCUUAACACAUGCAAGUCGAGGGGCAGCAUGUGGUUGCUUGCAACCGAUGAUGGCGACCGGCGCACGGGUGAGUAACGCGUAUCCAACCUUCCCUAUAGUAGAGGAUAGCCCGGCGAAAGUCGGAUUAAUACUCUAUGUUGUUCAAUGCAGACAUCUAAGUUGAAUCAAAGGUUCACCGCUAUAGGAUGGGGGAUGCGUCUGAUUAGGUAGUCGGCGGGGUAACGGCCCACCGAGCCAUCGAUCAGUAGGGGUUCUGAGAGGAAGGUCCCCCACAUUGGAACUGAGACACGGUCCAAACUCCUACGGGAGGCAGCAGUGAGGAAUAUUGGUCAAUGGGCGAGAGCCUGAACCAGCCAAGUAGCCGUGCAGGAUGACGGCCCUAUGGGUUGUAAACUGCUUUUAUACAGGGAUAAAGUCGGGGACGUGUCCCCGUUUGUAGGUACUGUAUGAAUAAGGACCGGCUAAUUCCGUGCCAGCAGCAGC